rnacentral:rRNA from 1 species
GACGAACGCUGGCGGCGUGCUUAACACAUGCAAGUCGAACGGAAAGGCCCUGCUUUUGUGGGGUGCUCGAGUGGCGAACGGGUGAGUAACACGUGAGUAACCUGCCCUUGACUUUGGGAUAACUUCAGGAAACUGGGGCUAAUACCGGAUAGGAGCUCCUGCUGCAUGGUGGGGGUUGGAAAGUUUCGGCGGUUGGGGAUGGACUCGCGGCUUAUCAGCUUGUUGGUGGGGUAGUGGCUUACCAAGGCUUUGACGGGUAGCCGGCCUGAGAGGGUGACCGGCCACAUUGGGACUGAGAUCCGGCGCAGACUCCUAAGGGAGGCAGAAGUGGGGAAUAUUGCACACUGGGCGGAAGCCUGAUGCAGCAACGCCGCGUGCGGGAUGACGGCCUUCGGGUUGUAAACCGCUUUCGCCUGUGACGAAGCGUGAGUGACGGUAAUGGGUAAAGAAGCAACGGCUAACUACGUG